AAAGGGUAGGGGCCGGGCGCGGUGGCUCGCGCAUGUAAUCCCAGCACUUUGGGAGGCUGAGGCGGGCAGAUCUCGAGGUCAGGAGAUCGAGACCAUCCUGGCUAACACGCUCCCCAGAGGAUUGCUUGCAUUUCAGCAUUUGGGAAUCCAUGAUCUAGGGCCCCUGGACAGGGAAAGUAGGAAUGGCUGGAAGAAGCCGAUGGGAACCUCGAUUGCCAGUCUCCCCCCAUAUAACAGCCCUUCUGCGGGCACUCAGAGAGCAGAGCAACCUGCAAGAUCACUUGCUGGAGCUGAAUUAUGAUUAAGAGAGAGAGAAUGGCACUUCUUUUUAAGAAAUUCCUCCUUAGGAACUUCUUAAAGUAAAAGGAAAUCAAAGAGCUCUUUGGAAUGGGACUGCCUCUUCACAGACCUGCUUGCAAAUACAGAGCUGAGCACUCCACCCUGCAGCCAGGGAAACUGCCGGUGACACUCAGUCGGCAAGUCAGUGAGAAACAGCCAAGUCCCCUCCCAAGCACAAGGCCGGACUGGCAGACUACAGAGAUGCGUAGGAGGCCGGACAGGAAGAUUCUUCACCUCUACCAAAAAAAAAAGAAAUGGUCACUCCUAGUUUUCUUGAAAGAAGCUACCCUUCUCCUGACUAUAAUUUAGUUUCUUGCUUUAGAGACACGAAUAUGGAUAUUCUUCUAUUAUAAAAUAUAAUAAUAAUAAUAGUGUCAAUGUA